rnacentral:lncRNA from 10 species
AUCCCACAAAAUGUAUUCCAAGGAAGAAAGAAAAAGUAUUCUCACUAGAAUAUUCCACAUUGAGAACUAAAAUUAGGUAGAAUAGACACUAGUAUAGUUGUACACUCCUUUGUUUAUCUCAGUUUUCUUCUUAGACCAACAUCUCUUCCAGAAAUAGCAUUUGCAGCUUUGGUGAAUGAACAAUGAGAAUGCUAUUGUAUAAUCAAGAAUCACAAAAGAAAAACAGGUCAAGCUCCCAAUCUAGAAAGUUAUUUCAAUUCUAAAUACUCCUGAAAGAACCAAUCCUACGUCUCAAAGAGUCACGUGUUACAAGACAUAACGUGCUGGCUCUGUUACCCAGGAGUGUGGUGGCACGAUCUUGGCUCACUGGAACUUCCACCUCCUGGGCUCAAGUGAUCCUCCCACCUCAGCCUCUUGAGUAGCUGGGAUUACAGGCGUGAGCCACCAUACCCAGCCCUAACAGUGAAUCUUCACCUUGAAAACUCAAUGACAAAUCUCCAAAGAGGAAAUACGUUCUUUAAUAAUCUUCAUCUCAGAAAUGUACACAAUCCAAUGUCUUGGAAAUUGAUACAAAGAACAUGAAUUUCUGU